rnacentral:rRNA from 1 species
GAAUGUAGGCCAUGCUAGUCGGUACGGAGUCACCACUCGUGGGGGCAUAGCUCAGUAACACGUGCCAACUACCCUUCGGAGCACAAUACCUCGGGAAACUGAGGCUAAUAGUGCAUCGCACAGUUCACCUGGAACGAGAACUGUGUCAAACGUUCCGACGCCGAAGGACGUGGCUGCGGCCGAUUAGGUAGACGGUGGGGUAAUGGCCCACCGUGCCAAUAAUCGGUACGGGUGAUGAGAGUCAGAGCCCGGAGACGGAAUCUGAGACAAGAUUCCGGGCCCUACGGGGYGCAGCAGGCGCGAAACCUUUACACUGCACGGAAGUGCGAUAGGGGAAUCCCAAGUGCGAGAGCAUACUAGCUCUCGCUUUUGUUGACUGUAAGGAGGUCAACGAAUAAGAGCUGGGUAAGACCGGUGCCAGCCGCCGCGGUAAUACCGGCAGCUCGAGUGAUGUCCAAUUUUAUUGGGCCUAAAGCGUCCGUAGCUGGCCAGCCAAGUUCGUCGGGAAAUCCACCUGCCCAACAGGUGGGCGUCCGGCGAAAACUGUCUGGCUUGGAACCGGAAGGCUCAGAGGGUACGUCGAGGGUAGGAGUGAAAUCCCGUAAUCCUCAACGGACCAACGAUGGCGAAAGCACUCUGAGAAGACGGAUUCGACAGUGAGGGACGAAAGCUAGGGA